rnacentral:rRNA from 1 species
CCUACGGGAGGCAGCAGUGGGGAAUAUUGGGCAAUGGGCGCAAGCCUGACCCAGCAACGCCGCGUGAAGGAAGAAGGCUUUCGGGUUGUAAACUUCUUUUGACAGGGAAGAGUAGAAGACGGUACCUGUCGAAUACGCCACGGCUAACUACGUGACAGCAGCCGCGGUAAUACGGAGGCGGCAGUCGUUGUCCGGAUUUACUGGGUGUAAAGGGCGUGUAGCCGGGUUGACAAGUCAGAUGUGAAAGCCUUCGGCGUAACCGCAGAACUGCAUUUGAAACUGUCGAUCUUGAGUACCGGAGAGGCAGGUGGAAUUCCUGGUGUAGCGGUGAAAUGCGUAGAGAUGUGGAGGAACACCAGUGGCGAAGGCGGUCUGCUGGAC